GCAACUGCUGAUGCUUUAAUUAUAUCCUCAGACUCUGCUGACACUCCCCUGAGUGUUAUAGUAAAUCGGUUCCCAUAAAGCUGCCCAAGCAGAAGCCCUUCUUUAACAUGGCAAAAGUCACCAACUUUGAUACCAAUCAAUCUUUUGUUGAGAGCUGCUAAUUUACUUGCUUGUUGCUUGAAAACGGUUACCCUCUGAGUUGAAACAGCACGCUUAUCUUUAGUACCAGCAAAUCCAAAGGACCUAAGCUGAACGCCAAGCAUCUUUGCUAUAACGUUUAAAGCUUCCUGUGUAUCCUUAUUCUCCUUGAAAAGAUGAAACCUGAGGAACUUGCCAAGAUGUCCUGGCCAACUGUCUGAACCUCUACUGUCAUAACGUUUAUCAUUCCGGUCUUUCCUUUUCCUAGAGUAUCU
rnacentral:misc_RNA from 1 species